rnacentral:tRNA from 1 species
UAGGCUGAAGCCCGCUGGGUUGGGUGUUUAGUUGUUAACUAUAUUUUUACGGGAUCGAGGCCCGUCGGUCUAGG